GACGAACGCAGGCGGCGUGCUUAACACAUGCAAGUCGAACGAUGAAGCCGGAGCUUGCUCUGGUGAAUUAGUGGCGAACGGGUGAGUAACACGUGAGUAACCUGCCCUUGACUCUGGGAUAACUGCGGGAAACUGUAGCUAAUACCGGAUACGACCCUCGGAGGCAUCUCCUGGGGGUGGAAAGAAUUUCGGUCAAGGAUGGACUCGCGGCCUAUCAGCUAGUUGGUGAGGUAAAGGCUCACCAAGGCGACGACGGGUAGCCGGCCUGAGAGGGUGAACGGCCACACUGGGACUGAGACACGGCCCAGACUACAACGGGAGGCAGCAGUGGGGAAUAUUGCACAAUGGGCGCAAGCCUGAUGCAGCAACGCCGCGUGAGGGAUGAAGGCCUUCGGGUUGUAAACCUCUUUUAGCAGGGAAGAAGCGAAAGUGACGGUACCUGCAGAAAAAGCACCGGCUAACUACGUGCCAGCAGCCGCGGUAA
rnacentral:rRNA from 1 species